rnacentral:lncRNA from 1 species
GUGGGGUGGAGGUGGGAUGGAGGAAACCUGAGCCCGUGAGUCCCUCCAUCACACGUGGUGAUUUGCAUUUUGGCUUGACUCAGCCUCCUGGCAGUCCCCUUGGUGGUGCCUAAGCCAGCCCUGCUGCAGGGGAGAUGCUCCGAAAGCUGUUUCUGACAACAGGCAAUUUGUAAUCUAMAUUGGUACUCCAGCACUUUUUUUAUUUUUUGGGGGUGCGUCUUUUUUUUUUAGGAAAGAGCUUUUGUCUUGUGCUAGCUAACAUGGUUAGAUCGUAAGGUGGGCAAUGAAAAUUGUAAUUCCCACCGUGCUUGCAUGUUUUCAGGCUAGUCUUUUGGCUUUAGUCUGAUCGCCCACCUUAACGCGGUARUCUGUCUUGUCUCCCCUGGCACAGGUCUCAUGAGGCAAAUUAGCUAUUCCAGGAAAUUCAACGUAGCUCUGGCUCUGGGACCUUCCAGGUGGGGAUGGCGCGUCGCUGAGCUCCCGCUGUCCUCUUGCAUCUCGCCCCGAAAGGCUGAGCUGGCGAACCAACGGCCCAAAGCCUCCCCAAACGGCAUGGGACGCCUCGCUGCUUCUCGCACGCGUCUGCUGGAGCUGCAAGCUUGGCAGCCCAGGAGGAGCCGGCACGCCAGAAGCCAACGGCAUGUUUCCAGCAAGGGGAGACCACACAAACAAACUCUGCCCUCUGGCCYGCGCCUGCAGAUCGCUUUGGUACGUGACUUCUGAAGCCCCUUUCGCCGUUGCUAGAACAAAGCAGUGGUUUCCUCUCUCAUCUCCUGCGCGAGCCGCGGGGCCGGCCGGGCCGUUCGCGCCGCGUGCAAAGAUGGAGGGUUUGCACUGCGAUCUGGGCCUUGGGGGUCUGGUUUCCCACGGCUUCUGGUGCUUUAAUCCUGCURGCGAGGCAGUUCUCUCUCGGGGACAGCGAGUGCCCGCGUUGGUGAGCAGCUUCGCGGGGAAAGCACCUCUGUGAAGACUCCGGUGAGUCGUCUUUGGGCAAGUGGCUGCGAAGAAAAUGUGAAAGUAUUGGUCUGUAUGUACUUGCCCUCAAAAGUGCUUCCCCCAGUUGGUUCAAAGUGAUCAGUGUUGCWAACCUCCUUCUGUCAAUCACUGCUCCCGUUUAUUUGUAGAAGGCUUGGCGAUUAAACUGCUUUUGAAAUAACUACAAAAAUGAAUAUUUUACAAAUUAUUUUUCAUGAGCUAAAAAGAAAACCAGGAAGAAUCCUGCCCCGGCAAGAGCAGRGCACGUAAAGGAGCGUUUCCAGGGCAGAGCUGGAGUAGGCAGCACAGCUCUUUGGCUGGGAAUGGGGGGGGCAACGUAAUUCAAUUAAAUGCAGUGGAGUUUGGCUAUAACCUCCACCUAGGCAGCUGCUGCCAUGG